rnacentral:rRNA from 1 species
UAGAGUUUGAUCCUGGCUCAGGACGAACGCUGGCGGCGUGCCUAAUACAUGCAAGUCGAGCGCAGGAAAUCAUCCGAACCCUUCGGGGGGACGUUGAUGGAAUGAGCGGCGGACGGGUGAGUAACACGUAAAGAACCUGCCCUCAGGUCUGGGAUAACCACGAGAAAUCGGGGCUAAUACCGGAUGGGUCAUCGGACCGCAUGGUCCGAGGAUGAAAGGCGCUUCGGCGUCGCCUGGGGAUGGCUUUGCGGUGCAUUAGCUAGUUGGUGGGGUAACGGCCCACCAAGGCGACGAUGCAUAGCCGACCUGAGAGGGUGAUCGGCCACACUGGGACUGAGACACGGCCCAGACUCCUACGGGAGGCAGCAGUAGGGAAUCUUCCACAAUGGACGAAAGUCUGAUGGAGCAACGCCGCGUGAACGAUGAAGGCCUUCGGGUCGUAAAGUUCUGUUGUAAGGGAAGAACAAGUGCCGCAGGCAAUGGCGGCACCUUGACGGUACCUUGCGAGAAAGCCACGGCUAACUACGUGCCAGCAGCCGCGGUAAUACGUAGGUGGCAAGCGUUGUCCGGAAUUAUUGGGCGUAAAGCGCGCGCAGGCGGCCUCUUAAGUCUGAUGUGAAAGCCCCCGGCUCAACCGGGGAGGGCCAUUGGAAACUGGGAGGCUUGAGUAUAGGAGAGAAGAGUGGAAUUCCACGUGUAGCGGUGAAAUGCGUAGAGAUGUGGAGGAACACCAGUGGCGAAGGCGACUCUUUGGCCUA